rnacentral:rRNA from 1 species
UACGUAGGGGGCAAGCGUUGUCCGGAUUUAUUGGGCGUAAAGAGCGUGUAGGCGGUUAGGUAGGUCCGUUGUGAAAAACUCGAGGCUCAACCUCGAGACGCCGAUGGAAACCAUCUGACUAGAGUCCGGAAGAGGAGAGUGGAAUUCCUGGUGUAGCGGUGAAAUGCGCAGAUAUCAGGAAGAACACCCGUGGCUAAGGCGGCUCUCUAGUACGGUACUGACGCUGAGACGCGAAAGCGUGGGGAGCGAACAGG